GCCACCAUCCCAGAUGGUCUUUGGGCUGACGCUGCUGAGUGCUCCCCAGGGAUUUUGUGGAGGAGGCUCUAGGGCCCACAGGGGAACCAAGCAAGAAGAAAGGCAUUUAAUUUGCAACAGAAAUAUGGAGAAGCAAUAUGGAGUGCAUUCACGAAAGGGGACUGAAGGAAGCUUUGUAUUGGCCUCAACCUGGAAUCUUUAAGAAUAAUUCAUCAUGGAA